rnacentral:lncRNA from 1 species
AAGGUUUAAAUUAAAUAUGCAGCAAGCUCCAGUUGGCUGCCUGCCACCACCCCGAGGUAGGGGGAAGGGAGACCGUGUCCCCCGCUCGCCUGACUCACUCAGUGUUUUUUUUUUUUUUUUUUUUUUCCCCUUCCCAUUUCUGUUACUUCAGUGGAAGGCGCCUGCAGUCUUGGGUUGGGUUUUUCUGUAAAUGCACUCUGUGAGAGAUACGCAGCCUUCUGGGACCUUGGCUUCCUCUUCCAUGCAAAGAGGGAGGUGACCUUUGAAGGUCUCUUCCGUAUUUAACCUUUUCCGUUUUCUCUGAUCUCGGUGGCAGGGAUUUUCAGCAAAUGCCCUAACCCUCUCUGUAGGGGGCUCACGUUCACCAUUUCCAGGGUGAGUUCAUCUCUGUGUAACUCGUCCUUACCUGGAGUGACUGGGUGUGUGAUCUAUUCUCACCAUUCCUGGGGUGAUCUCAUCGAUGUGUGAUGCAUCUUCACCAUUCCUGGAGUAACCUCAUCCAUGUGAGAUACAUCCUUAUCAUUUCUGGGGUAACCUCAUCUAUAUGUGAUCUACCCUCCAUUCCUGGGGUGACCUCAUCUGUGUGGCACACAAUGUGAUUAUAAAAAGACAAAGAGAGCAGCACCCCUCCAUGGCCUCUGCAUCAGCUCCUGCCUCUGGGUUCCUGCCCUGUUUGAGUUCCUGUCCUGACUUUCUUCGAUGAUGAACAGUGAUGUGGAAGCUCACCUCUUUAGAUCUAGGAAACCGAAACACAGCUUGCGUGGUUUUCUUCGGUGAAUCUGAAUCUGACUUUUGUUGUAGAUUCUUCAGCCAGGAAAAAAUAGCAGCGAAGGAGAGAGAGAGAAAUCCUUCCCUGGUGAGCUGGAUUCCUUGAAGUUGCAGACUAUGAAAAGCGGGAUGCAGUUG